GGGGACAGGCGGAGGAGGGGGCGCGGCGGACGACACUGGUUUUGACGGUUGGCUAGAGACUACCGAGUCCUACUCUGAGGCCGCGGCACCCACAAUCUUGGGGCUUCUGGGUCUUGCCUGCCCUGGUUCGGCCACCGAGACCCACGUUCCCUGCGGCCCGCGGUCGGGGUCUAGGGAGUUGGCUGUGUAAGUGACGAGAGCUCAUGGACUGUAAGUUGGAAAGGAGUGCUCAGAGAACAGAGUCACUGGUGUGGCCCGGACAAGAAGGUUUCCCAGAGGACGGAGGUGAAGAUGGACUCUCUGAGAGCUUCCAGCUUCUGCAGAUGGAUGUGGAGUGCGAGCACCAAGAGGAAGAGGUCUGCCCUGCAAACAGUGCGACAUGGAGCUCGAAAAAUGUGCAGAGAAAACAGAGACACUGGGAAAGGAUAGUCUCCUCGAAGAAGAGCAAAAGGAAGCAGGAAAAAGAAAGAAGAAAAGUCAAACGUGCAGAACACCCAGGUAACGAUAACUGCACCUGCCCCCAGCACAGCAAACGCUUUUUGAAAGCCUUAACCAAAGAGAGACUUUUGGAAGCCAAACACUCAGGACCAAGACUGUGUGUUGACUUGAGCAUGACUCACCACAUGUCAAAGAAGGAAUUGAGUAGGCUGGCGGGACAGCUUCGAAGGUUGUAUGGUUCAAACAAAAAAGCCAGCAGGCCCUUUUGGAUCUGCCUCACUGGAUUCUCAACUGACAGUCCCCUCUAUGAAGAGUGUUUGAGGAUGAAUGAUGGAUUUUCUGCGUACUUGCUAGAUGUAACAGAAGAAGACUGCUUUAGUUUAUUUCCUCUGGAGACCCUUGUGUACCUGACUCCCGACUCAGAACAGGCCCUUGAAGACAUUGAUCAAAACACAGUUUACAUCAUUGGUGGACUUGUAGAUGAAAGCAUUCAGAAGAAGGUGACAUUUCAAAAAGCUCGAGACUACUCUGUGAAGACAGCCCGCUUGCCGAUCCAGGAAUACAUGGUCAGGCGUCAGAAUGAGAAAAACUACCAUUCAGAAGUGCUGGCCAUCAAUCAAGGUACUGCUCACGCAGCCCAGCCCAACAUGCCUCCUUCCUGGCCAUUUCCUAGUCCUUUUUCGUGGGCGGCACUGUUAACUGUUUUCUCGGACCUGCCUUGAGUACAGUGCCCCCAUGAUCCAGUCUCCUGUGACUCAUAUACCUAGACGCUCCUUCAUGUACUUGCUGGCAGGCGUUUCUCAUUUCCUUUGUUCCUGGGUGACAGUACCCCUUUGCCUAGAAUGCUGGCCCUGCCAUCUACUUUGAUUGGCUGGCAUCUUUGCUCUAUAGGCUUCAGUUCAGGAGCAUCUCAGGGGCCUUUCCUCCCACUGCAGCCCCCGUCAGGCCCUUGUCUGUGUUGCCAUGGUGCUGCAUUCCUCUGUUGCGGUGUUACCUAUUAACAGGCCUCUCCUCAGAUGUUUGAUGUCCUGUCCACUUACUUUGAGACUCACAGCUGGCCUGAAGCAUUGAAGAAAGGAGUUUCUCCGGGAAAAGGCUACAUUCUUCGGAAUGCAAUGGAAUGAUGGGCAG